GUGGUGGCACACGCCUUUAAUCCCAGCACUUGGGAGGCAGAGGCAGGUGGAUCUCUGAGUUCAAGGCCAGCCUUGUUUACAGAGUGAGUUCCAGGACAGCCAGGGCUACACAGAGAAACCCUGUUUCGAAAACCCAAACACACACACACACACACACACAAUCAAUCUCUCUCUCUCUCUCUCUCUCUCUCUCUCUCUCUCUCUGUGUGUGUGUGUGUGUGUGUGUGUGUGUGUGUGUGUGUGUGUAUGUAAGAGUGACUCCUUAGAAUGGUUUACAGGCUGUGGUCUACCUAAUCCAACAAUGGCUGUCUAUCAACAGAAGGUCCAAGAAUCCAGUGUUUGUCCAACCUGGAUGUCUCAGCUGGUCUUCAGUACAUGCUGGAAUCCUGAAAACGUAGGUUGUAAUGGCACUGAAGGAAUGGACUUGUUAGCAAAAGAAAAAGCAGGAAGGCAAAGAGAGAGCUUUCUUCUUUCAUGUCCUUCAUAUAAGCUUCCAGCAGACGGUGUGACCUGGAUUAAAGGUGCAUCUUCUCACCUCAGAGAUCUGGAUUAGAAGUGGAUUUUUCUACUUCAGAUGAUUUUGUUAAGAAGAAAAACCACUCACAGGUGUGCACAGCCCUUUGGGUUUUAGUUACUUCCAGAUGUAGUCAAGUUGACAUGACCUUGACAUAGCCAUGCUCAAGGUCAUGUGAUAGUUUAGAACACGGAGCUUGGAGCAGACUGUCUUGGCCACACAACUUCAUAGCUCUGUGGUUUUGGGCUAGUUACCAGUGUUCUCUGGGCCUUCUUGCCUCAUUAAUGACAUUGCUUGCUGCUUAGUUUUUGCCAACUUGACACAAUCUAGAGGCACCUGGAAGGAAGGGACCUUAAUUAAAGAAGUUCCUCCAUUUUAAUGACUUGUAAGCAUGCCUGGCAUUUUCUUGAUUGAUGAUAGGUGAGGGACAGCCCAGUCCAAUGUGGGCAGUGCAGCCCCUGGGUUGGUGGUCCUGGGAGGUAUAAGAGAGGAAGCUGAACUUGAGAGUCUGGAAGCAAGCCAGUGAGCAGCUUUUCUCUACGGCCCCUGUCCUCGAUUCUCCUUCAGUUCUGCCCGUUUGGAGCAAGGGAUAAAUGCAUUUGGUAUCUGCCCAUCACAAGAACAGGGAUUGAGAUUUCCUCUCACAGUGAUGUCCCUGUCACCUAGCACAACCCUGCCACACAGUGCACACUGGACAUCUGUUGGUGGAACGCAGGGCCCUUCCUCUUUUUGGAGAAAUACUUCUUAGUUUGCCCAUUUUUCACUUGGGUUAGGUGUCUUUCAUUGUUGAGUUGUGAAAUUUCUCCAGAUGUUCCAGAUUCAAGUUUCUUGCCUUGAGGUUGGUUUCAUUCUGUGGAUAAUAUUUUCGCUUUCUUGAUGGUGUCCUUAGAAGUAGAAAAAAAUUUUCAAUUUUGAUGACAUACAGUUCUAUAUUUUCUUUUACUGCUUUUUUGUCUUAGUUACUUUUCGGCAACUUAUAAAAUACAGCAUUCAGCUGGAAGCUUGCUUACAGGGUCAGAGCACUGAAGCCAUGCAGGCAGGAAGGCAGGAGGGCAGCAGGCAGGUAGACAGACAGGCAGUAGGCAGGCAGACAGACAGGCAGCAGGCAAGCAGCAGGCACUGGAGCCAUAGCUGAGAGCUCACAUAUCAAGACUCAACUGUGAGAAAGUGAGCAAUCAAGAACUGGAAACUGAUUAGGCUUUUAAAACUUCAGAGUCCAUCCCCAGUAAGAUAUGUCUUCCAGCAAGGCCACACCUUCUAAUCCUUCCUAAAUAGUCCACCAAUUAGGAACUAAACAUUCAAAUAUAUUAGCCUAUGGGGACCAUUCUCAUCAAACUACCACACUUUUGAUACUGUUUUUUUGUUUGUUUUUGUUUUUAGAUUUAUUUAUUUUUAAUUAUAUAUAAGUACACUGUAGCUGUCUUCAGACACUCCAGAAGAGGGAAUCAGAUCUCAUUACGGAUGGUUGUGAACCACCAUGUGGUUGCUGGGAUUUGAACUUCGGACCUUCGGAAGAGCAGUCGGGUGCUCUUACCCACUGAGCCAUCUCACCAGCCCUUGAUACUGUUAUCUAAGAAUCCUUUGUCCAAUCUAAGGUCGUGAAGAACCACUGCUAUAUUUUCAUCUAAGUAUUUCAUAGCUGCAGCUUUUACCUUUAAUUCAUGCACUUACGGGUAUGACUGUUUUUGUUUGUUUUUUUGCGUGUAUGUCUGUGUACCACACACGUGCCUAGAGGCCAGAAGAGGGCAUCAGCUCCCCAGAACUGGAGUUGCAGAUGGUGUGAGUUACUCUGUGGGUGCUGGGAAUCACACUGAAGUCCUCUGGAAGGGUAACCGGUGUCUUAACUGCUGAGCCAUCUCCCAGCCUUCUUCAGUUCAGCCUUUUCCCUCCCCCCCCCCAGGUUUUCAAAACAGGGUUUCUUUGUGUAGACUUGGUUGCCCUGGAACUUGCUCUGGAGACCAUACUAGCCUCAAACUCACAGAGAUCCCCCUGCCUCUGCCUCCUGAGUUAAUUCAUCUUUAAUUUUAAGUGCUUUUGUUUUGAUUUGUAGAGACAGGUUCUUACUAUGUGGUGUAGGCUAGCCUCAAAUUCCUGCCUGAGCCCACUCAGUGGUAGGAUCACAGAUUUGAGCCACUAUACCUAACUCAGUUAAUAGUGUUGUUUUGUUUUCCCAGGGUCUUACUGUGUAUCCAUGGCUGGUCUGGAAUUCACUGUGUAGAUUGGGCUGGCCUUAAAUUAACAGAUAGCUGUUUGCCUCUACUUCUCCUGAGAGCUAGGGUUAAUGGCAUGUACUGUCAUGCACAGUCAAGCAAGAGCUUUUGGUAUGCCUUACCAAUGAGCCACCUCUCCAGCUUCGAAUUAAAUUUUAAAAAUUAUUAUCAGUGUGUGUGUGUGUGUGUGUGUUCGCAUGCUUGGGCACACGUAUGCUAUGCUUUGUUUGGAGAUCAGAGGACAACUUUAGGGUUCUCUCCUUCUGAUUUUACAGGGGCCCCAGGUCUUGAACUUGUGUUACCAGGCUUGUAUGGCAAGUUCUUUUAUUGCCUAAGCCACCUGAGUUAACUUCCUAAAUGAGUUCCAUUUCACUGUUUUAUGUUUGGUAAUCCCGUUGUGCUGGUGCCAUUUGUUGAAAAGUCUGUUCUUUCCCUAUAGAGUAGCAUUGGCAUCCUUGUCAGGAUUCAAAUGAUGGGAGGCAGUGCUUUCCCCAAAUGUACGAUGUCCUGGGCUUAAUCCCUGUACCAGAAAACAAUACAAAAAAUCAGUUGGCUACCUGUAGUGCCCCUUUGGGAGACUAAGGCAGAGCAGGUUAGAUUUGAGCCCAUUUAGGCUACAGAAAGAGACUGAAAAGCAAAAGC
rnacentral:lncRNA from 1 species